GUCGACGGGUAGCCGGCCUGAGAGGGUGACCGGCCACACUGGGACUGAGACACGGCCCAGACUCCUACGGGAGGCAGCAGUGGGGAAUAUUGCACAAUGGGCGGAAGCCUGAUGCAGCAACGCCGCGUGAGGGAUGACGGCCUUCGGGUUGUAAACCUCUUUUAGCAGGGAAGAAGCGAGAGUGACGGUACCUGCAGAAAAAGCACCGGCUAACUACGUGCCAGCAGCCGCGGUAAUACGUAGGGUGCAAGCGUUAUCCGGAAUUAUUGGGCGUAAAGAGCUCGUAGGCGGUCUGUCGCGUCUGCUGUGAAAUCCCGAGGCUCAACCUCGGGCUUGCAGUGGGUACGGGCAGACUAGAGUGCGGUAGGGGAGAUUGGAAUUCCUGGUGUAGCGGUGGAAUGCGCAGAUAUCAGGAGGAACACCCAUGGCGAAGGCAGAUCUCUGGGCCGUAACUGACGCUGAGGAGCGAAAGGGUGGGGAGCAAACAGGCUUAGAUACCCUGGUAGUCCACCCCGUAAACGUUGGGAACUAGUUGUGGGNUCCUUUCCACGGAUCCCGU
rnacentral:rRNA from 1 species